rnacentral:tRNA from 1 species
GCCUGGCUGGCUCAGUCGUUAGAGUAUGUGACUAUUGAUUUCGAGGUUGUGAGUUCGAGCCCCACGUUGGGUG